GGCAGCGCCGCGGCCCCGCCCCGCCGCCAAUCCAUGGCCAAAAUGGCCGCCGGCGCGGCUCUCGCGAGAGCUGUCCCGCCCCGGGCCCACCGGCCUCGGCGCCUUCGGCUCGGCCGUGGCUGUGGCUGGUCCCGGUUCCGGCUCCGGUGCCUCGCCCAGAGCCUCGCCCAGCGCUGGGCGCGCCCGGCCGAGCCGCGCGGUUGUUGACUGAGCACGAGGGGCGGCGCAGAAGCCCCGGCGCGGAGCCCCCGCGGAGCCCCCGCGGGCAGAGCCGCCCCGCGCCCCGGGGCCGGCGAUGGCGCUCGGCCGCCGCCGCCGCCGCCCUCCCUCACGUUAUCGCGGCGCGGGGGCGUGGGGGGUGAAUGAGCGGAACGGGCUGCCGGGGAGGUGCUGGAGUCACCCUCCCUGGAGGUGUUUGAGGGAAGACUUGGACGUGGCGCUUGGUCUGGGUGACACGGUGGUGUCCAGAGGUCUUUUCCAGCCCCAAUGGAUCCUGUGAUUCCGUGAAAAUGGAGUAGCAGGAGGCGAACGGGGAGGGAGCGCGCCCAUGUCGCUGCCCCGGGUGCGGCACGGGGCUCGAAAGGGUAGAUUUUUGUCUGUGACAACCUUCAAUAUAUCUGUUUUUCGUGCCGCCUGAGACACACUAAAAGCCAAGUCUUGGUGAAAUACUCCAGCUGCUUUACUUUUCACUGUCUGAAGACCUCGUUAUUCAGAUAAUAAGAGGCUGCUGUCUCCACUUUAAUAUAUAUUCUGGGCUGUUGGAAGAAUUGAACUGGGACACAUGGACAGCAGCGUGUGAGAGCUUUAAAAAGGUAAGUUCAAACACUGGAGGAUGUUUUGGCUCCUGCAGGUCAGCACACCUCCAUCAUUCCAGCUCUCUUUGGUUAAAAAAGAGAGAGAGCGGGACUGUAACCUCCUGCUCACACGAAGCCUGUGAGAGUCUCCAUGAGCCUCCUCACUCACUCCUCCUGGCAGUAGGACAAGUCUGGCAUUCAAAGGGAAUUGAAAGACAUUCUGCUUUAGAGAGGGAGAUAAUUCAAGAGCAAGCCCGUGGCAGAAAAUUAAGAGAGAUUGUUUAAGGAAACUAAAUAAUGAAGGUUGUUGGUGAUGAAAUGCACUAUUGAUCACAUUCAAAUCCAACCCACACUGUUAAAAGUCCGAAGGUAUUCUUUUAGUAUACAAUAUGAAACAAAUAUCCCCUCUUCCUAGCAGAUGAGAAUUCUUGUUCUAAGUGGGUCUCACUGGUUUAAUCAGCAGUGAUCAUAUUUGUGGUCCUUUAAUUAAUGUUUAAGUCAAUUUAUUUUUUUUAGAAAGCAUUUAGAAUGUGUUUGGCUUUUACCGUGGUUUUCAGGGCUAUUUAGAAGCACAUUUGAAAUAAAUGGGAGAAUGAGGUACUUUUAAACUUUAUAGUGGCACUUGUAAGACAAACCCAAAACUUCCAUGAUGUAGCUUUUUCACAUGUGUUAAUUCCAUAAGCAUUUGUGCCCACCUGACUCAAAAAGAAAUAGAAGAUUUCAUUCUGAGGAGUUGAAAGUCAGUACUUUUCACACAUGCUUAAUACAAAGCACAAACAGAAAGAAUAAUGUUCUUCCCUGUGAGUAUUCAGAGAACAUAAUAGAAAAACAGGUAAUGAGGACAAUACAGAUUUCAGAUGGUUUAAGGAAAUGCUGAAUUUUGAUUUUAUACCAGUUUUUAGUGUGGUCUAUUUGUUUUCACUUCUAGAAUAAUACUAAUCCAAGUUUGUAUUAGGAUCCAUAUGAGCAAUUUUCAUAGAAUAUCUUGGUAUUUGUUUGCUACUCUUGAAAGCCAUGUUGAAUGACUAAAAAUUAUCAGUAUAACAUACAAAUAAUUGGGAGCAUCUCCUUUUUCAAUGCCUCACUUCAGUCAUGAAAGAAUUUGCAAAGAUACUGUUGAAUGUGACCAGAUUACAAAAUUUAAUUCUCACUCAGAAACACUGAAAUGUUCCAUUUCAAAUUCCCAUCCCAUUUUACUUCUCCAUACUUUAAGGAUUUACAUUGGCAUUACAAAGGUAAGAAGGGCUGAACAUUUAAAUUCUGCUUGGUUCAUAUCCUGAUGAAGGUGCACCAUUAGAAAGUAGGUUAUUCAAAAGGAUGCAUUAUGUUGGAAUAUUCAUAAAAAUGCUUUUCAGUAGCUGAGUGCAGCUCAAAAUCAUUUGAUGGGUCUGCAUUUGGCUUCUAUUUUACUGCAAAUAAGAGGCACUGAGAUCCCAAACUUUUAAUUAAUAAUUAUUUAUUUUUUAAUUAUGAGUUUCUGAACUUUAUAUAAUGCAAAUGUGUCAAAAGAAAACUUGCUCUGAAAAGGAUAAGUAGAUAUAUGGCCAAAAUGUCAUUAAUACUUUUACUCAAAAACGUAAUUGAGGAACAUAUGUUGCAUUGUGAAUAACAAUGUUUCUACUAAUAAAGGAAAGGAUUUAUUAGAAGUAGCCUUUGGGCCAGAUUCCACUUUUUUUCUACUACAACAGAUGUGGAAUAAACUUAAAGCAGAAAAAUAGCAGAAAAACACGAGCUAUUGCUUGCAAAGGAUUUUAUACUGGCAUAUUUGGGAUUAGUGUCUGUUCCAUUUGGUGUAUAUAAAUUUUUAAGGGGUAAUGUAUGGAGUAACUACAACGCUUAUUACCUAAUCCUAAACAUUGUCUGUUAUAUUGGCUUCUCUGGAAAGUAGCACAACAAAUAAUUUUUAUGCUUUACUCGGUAUUGCUAAGAAAUUUGGUAAUAUUCUACCAUUUGGAGGUUGGGGAGAAUUAAAUAAAGCCUAAAAGCAGUGGUAUAAAGGUAAAAUGCUAGGCUGUUAAUGUAGAAGAACGUGUAAGUUAAUUCUGCUUGUAAGUCCUCAGAUCUUUGGGGUGCUUAUUCAGGAAUAGUUCAUGACAAAUUAAGCAAAACAGAGGUUUGUAGGCUGUGGAAGAGCUUUUCAGGAAAUGUGAGCUGUUAUUUGAUACAGCAGCAUUCAGCCUUCCUAACAGACUAACUUUUUUUAAAGUACGUGCCUUGCUGUAUCAGAGCUGUAAAAACAGACAUAAUUUUAAGGUUACAAGUGAUAUAUUUUAGAUAAUUUUUAAAAUUUGUUAAAACUAUGUGUCCUAAAACUAUAUAUUAAAUAUUUAUUUAGAGUCCAUCACACUUGACAGGUAGGUGAAAGAUGUAGGUGCAUGCAUUCAGUUGCAUGGUUGAAGAAGAUGUAUAAAAGAGAAGGAAAACCAAAUUACUGAAUAACAGUAAAUUGAGAGAUACUGGAGAAGAAGCUGGAGGGCUUUAGAAUAAAAAGGAAGGUAAAUUAAUAAUCAUGAAGGAGUUUGCAGAUGAAAAUGAAUCCAGGAGAAAGGCAGGUUGAAGACAGAAGUGUCUGAAUGGAUCAUGAGUAAUGGAAAGAGUGGACAGAAUAUAUGGAAAUAGGUGAUUCGAAAUUUAGGAAUCUUUCGGUCUUUAAAAUGUAAACUUAACUGAGAGAAGUCUUAACAUCUCAUAAUCCAAUCAGGCUGUUUAGGGCUCCAUACAGUCCCAGCAAAGAGCAGAUUAUUUUGCUUCAUUUGCAUGCAGGCCUAUGUGGAAAAUACAUAGUAAGGAAUUGCAGGAGGGUUCUCAGUGGAUUUGGAGCAGGAAUAGCAGUUGUACAUUUGAAUGCAGUGGUCUAAUUGUUUGUGGCUGGGCUGCUGCAGAAGUCCAAGACUAUAAAUAUACCUGUCAGUGAAAGAUACUUGCAAUGAAUUUUCUCAUAGGUAACAAAAUUGAGAUAAAACACCUGACAGUUAAGGAUAAGUAGGCUAAAAAAGAAUGUGGACUGCAGUGUUCCAGGGGCAGUUGUUUCUUUGUUUCUUUCUCAAAUCCCUGUGCAAGAAUAAAAGCUGAAAAGUAGAACUGAGCUGGAGUGUUUGCAGCAAAAGUUGUAGUAAGAAGAGAAAAGGAUGUUUGUAUCCUGCACUAAAUAGGGGUGGCUGUGUUAGUUUCCACCGUUAUCAAUAGGAAGCUUAAGUGGUCAGAUGUUAUUGAAAGUUAUUGAAACUAAAACAAGGUGUAGGCUCUGAAAAUGCCCUCUGCAAGACACAGAGCUGAGCUACAUAGGCAGGAAGAGUUUUUGUAAUUCCAGUCUCAGAGGGGGAAGAAAGAAAGCUGUGUACAACUGAUGUAUAUUGAUGGGUGACCUUGAUACUGGCACUGCCAACAACAAAAGUUAGCAGGCAGCAGGUUUUGUGGAGAAUAUUUGAAGUAAGGUUGGAAGAACAAUCUACUGAGGAACAGAAGCUUUGACUGUAUUGUAAAAACAAGCACUAACACCUGCUGUGAGCCUAAAGCCUUUAAUUGUCGCUUUCUGAAAGCUAAAAACUCCCCAAACUGUGCAGUAUCCAAAAUAAGUCCCAAUAUAAUAGCCCAGGGUAAGCAAGUGCCUCUCAUUUGCAAAUUGACUUUACAUUUUUGAAAGACGUUGCUCAGGAGCAGUAGGUGCCUGAUACAAUGUAGGUUUGUAACAAUCCCUGUAACGUGCUAAUCCCGUGCUAAGAAAUUAAUUGGUAUAAGAGGGCUGGAGCACAUUUAUGAUUUCUCUUGAAUGAGUAAAAUGUAGUGGUGAAAGGUAUGUAUGGUACAGAGAUUGCUCAGAGGUUGCUGGAGGAAAUCUCCAAUGCCUUUUGCAAUGCUAUUUGCAUAUAAUAACCUGAAAUUAUGUCUUAAUACUGACAUAGUGAGUUAAGAUUCACUCGCAGGGUCCUGAUAUAAGGCACUUGAUAUUUAUACUGUGUACAAAGUGGAGUUUUUUAGUCAUAUAGUGUUUCUGGGGAUAGUUUCCAUGUGUUUUCCAUGUUACUCUGUUCAGCUCUGAAAUGUGCUGCUCAAUGGCAUUGAAUUAAGUUGUUCUGCUUUGUUCCUUUGCAGGUGAGGAAAUACACCUUCUAAUGAACCAGAAAUGAAGUGGUGGGACCAAAAAUAAACUUAGUUCUUUCAAAUUUGUUUCAAGAAGAAUAAAGACUUUGCAGAUUACAUUUUGCCUUCGUGGCAAAUCUUGUCUUCUAACUGUAGUUGAGUAGGAUGGUAUUUGUUAAGCAUUUGAAGUGAUCACUGAAGGGGCUUUAAAGGAAAUGCCAUGUGGAUUGCAUAGAGUUUAGGUUCCUAACUGUGGAGACAGUAGCUUAACAAAGAUUGUGUGAGUAUUUCUGGUUUGGUUCAGACCAGCUGCAAUAUAUUGUUUAAACAGGCUAUAAAAACAGCCUUUCUAAAUCUGAGCACUGUGAUGAUUCCAGCAAGCUCACUGAAACAAGUUAUUUUUGGCAGGGAAGAAAGAAGAUAGGACUUGGUAUCUGCACUGAAAACCUAAUUUUCUGUUUAUUUAGGGAACAGGAAAUGGGAAGCAGCAUUACAGCUGAGGAUAAAGCUAGCAUAAAACAAUGAGGAUGAAAAAGCUGAGAUAAAACUGACCUCUUUAGGGGGAGAAAUGAGGCUGAGAGAUGUAUCUGGUUGGCUUGGUGGGGAAGACAUAAGAGGAAAGUUUGGGGUUAUUUGGAUUGGACUGAUGUCUGAAAAUAGCAACCAGUGAGGUUCUUGAGGGGCAGGGGGGAAUUUUUUUUAACUCUUACACAUAUUUUCUACGUAACAUCUUGCGCUUUCUGAGGUCCCUUUUUAAAGCACUUUUCCAGAUAACAUUUAUAGUCCUGACACCUUGUGUUUGGAAGCCACGUGUGAAAUUUUGAUAGUAAUUAAAUGCCUCUUGUUACUUUAGAAAACAAUGAUAAUACAGUUUAUAAAUUUCCACUAUCCUAUGCUACUGAAUGUUCUUAAAUUAAUCCAUUAGUAAGGAUGAAAGAGCUGUGAUUCUGUGCUCCAUGCAAUGCUUUUAUGGCUAGUUCAGCACCACUACCGAGUUUGUAAACAAGAGAACUGAAGUUAAUUUUAUAACUUCAAAGUAGAGUAAAAGGCUAAAGAACACGGCAUUUGAAAAUGGAUCCUGACAAAUUCAAGGAAAGAGUUAUAUUCAGGGCUAGGAUGUUCUUGAAUAUUUUAAAUGGAUUAGAAAGAGUUGUUAAACUGAGUGUCUUUUUGGUUUUAAUCAGUUAUAUUAGUUGAGGAUUGCCACUAAGUACCUGAAGGAUCGAAGAAGAAUUCUUUCCCCCUCAUACAUUCAGAUUUUUUCAUCAUUACAUUUGUUGGGUUUUUUUUAAUUUUUCUUUGCUAGGAAUUAAAGAUGAGAGUCUGAACAUGCUAUACUGCCAUUCCUAUAGGAAAUCUUAAUGAUCCUGUUUAUGUUUUCCACCCAUGCUUGGGACUGCCAUCUGGCAUGCAGUUGCCAGAUUUGAGGGGAGUAAGGAAUUCUCUUCUCCCCCACCCUCUCAUCCUUGUUUACACUGACACAGGCUGUUGGGAUCUUUAUUUUUCUAUGCUCUUCUGGUUUAUGGAGCAAAGUUCACUUCCUGGGCUUAGUUCAUCUGCUUCACUGUGGCUCCCUGGAAGUGCAAGACCUUCAGUGCUGCUAAAUAUACUUUCUCAUUAUUUCUGUGUGAUGUCUGAAGGGGUUUUUUAUCUUUUAUACUAAAGAUAUACAUUACAGGCUGUGAGAGUUUUUCAACUGCUGCAUGUAUGUAUGGGCAGAAUGGGUGUUGAUUUUACAUUUUAAUCUAACUCUACUAAAUAUGUUUAGGACUUCAGGGUGAUCAAGGUAGUCCCUCCCAUCAUUUACACCUCUGUUCUGCUAGGAAGUAUCUCUGAUACAUUCAUGGAAGCAGCAAAAUCAAUAUUGUGCUUUAGCCCUGAACGUAUUUGGAAUUUCACUUUGAAAAAUCCUUCAUUUUAGACUAUUUCUUUGCUAUGCAAUACUGUAGGUUGUACAUCCUCAAUCUGGUUUAUGUGACUGCACCAGUAAUAGAGUCAAACUGUUUAAAGUCUGAUUUCUCAGUGGAAGAUCUAGAGUUCAGGGAAAAAAAUGCAUGAGGAUCUGUGACUCGAGAAGCAUUGCCUGAAAGGUGUUCAAAAUCUAAUAAUCCUAAAAUUUGUACUUUUUAACAAGAUCACAGCACUCCUAGCCUUUCAAAUACCUUUCUGUGGGACUUAUAAAGCAAAUAUUAAUAUGCAAAUGUGAAGGCUUUGAGCUAAUUGAAUAUUAAUUACUUUUGGAAUAUGCUGCUAUUGAGAUGUUUGAACAUUAAAGACAAUGAACAUUACAUAAUUGAUAAGAAUGGCUCAUCAGGUAAAACAGAGUUUUGUGUGACUAUUGAUGAAUGGCUUAAAGUCAUAUUAGUUUAAUGGUUUCUGUCUGUACAGAGUUAAUUUUUGAGGUGCAAGGUGAUAUUAGGGUGUUGGAUAGGAGGUUGUAGAACACUAUGAUAGGUCAAUACCAACUCUGCCAGUGUUGCUACAUUCAGGAAUAGUGUACUUUACUCAGACGUGGGGGAAUGCAAUGAUUUUUUGUGCUCUCCUUUCAGCAAUUCUAUUUUUAUUUUUAUACUUUGCAUUAAUUCUCUUUAUAACAGUCAUAAAUGGUAUGAUCUGUUAAACUUCUAAGGUGCAGCUGUAUUCAUUCAGGGAGUGUGCUUAGAUAGUAAAUAGGAGAGACCACCUCUCCUUGCAGCUCUGAACAGGCUACAGGGGUGGAUUUAUUUGUGUGUGACAUGAAAUCCCAACUCUGCUCUGGUUUCCUGCAGCCACUGUGUGGGACCUGGAACCUGAGGAGAACCUGUGCUGCAGCACUAAAAAUGUCUUGGUUCCAAAAGUUAAAUGAGAGAAUGAGGCUCUGGUGAUCAUCAGCAAAUAUGAGCCUGCUGCUUAGUAAAUAGGGGUCUUUAGUGACUUUUUUGCUAAAAGCAAUGAACAGGGAUGUGUUUCCAGCCUGAGGAGACAGGACAAAACGAGCAGUACAAACCUAUGUUGCAGAUCAGGUAUAAUUAAUUUCUCUGUAAUUAAGUCACAGAGUAAUUUCUGUUGAAAGGGGUGCCUGGAAUCUGAGAAUUAACAAGCUCCUCUGUAAAGAACUGUCUGAUGUAAGGAGGGAGCUAUAAAUGUGAGUGAUUGCAGAAUGAUCUAGUGUGAAGAUAACUGCCCGUCACUGGCUAGCAGGGAAGUGGCCCAGAGGGGCCAUCUUCACGUAAAAUAUAUGUACACAGGAGGCUUCAGAGCAAUAAUACAUUUGCUAAGAGAAAACUAUUGCAUCACUCAUCUAUUAGGUGAGCCAGAUCCGUUGGUAAGUGGCAGCAGGAAAGAAAGGAACUAGGAAUACUCAGGACCUGAGGAAUUGAUGAGCAGCCAGAAGGAAAGAACCCAUUUAUAUGAGAAGCAGUUGCAUCAACUAACACCUGCAUUGGCAGAUGUUUAGGACCAAAUCCAUGGGUCUCAUGCCAGAGCACAGACAGCAGAGGGAAGGGCAAAGCAGCACUGCAGCCCCACUGCCUGGGAGAGUGGAGCCCACCUGAGAGAGAGCACACGGAGACAGAAGUUGCUUUCUUCAGUCUUGUCAGAAGAGAUGGAUUAGGGGCAGGACAGAGUCAAAUAUCUCUCAGCCAUUUCCCUGGCAAAGCAGAGAAGUUGUUUUAUUUGACUUAUCUACCGAAAAGCCACACCUGAGAAUGAAUAGAUGCGUUACUUUAAACAUAUGUGAACAAAAUCACUGCAAUACAUUUUGGACAUACAGCUUGCAGCAAGUAUAGAUUCUCUGUAUAGAUGCAGAAAAGGAUGCAGUUCUUGAACUUGUGUAUUACUUUUAUCUUUGAUGAUGUUACAUUAGAAAGAAAUGGGAUACCAUAGAAAUAUUUUUUGUAAUAAACGAGUACAUCGAAAGAAUAAGAUAAAGGCGGAAGAUAAGUGAGGACUCAGAGCAAGAAGACUCAUCAGAAAAAAUGCUUUGCAGAUGUGUAGUGUUCACUGUGGUGUGACACAGACAUUUUUCUUGUUUCCUAUUUCAAAAUAUAUGAGUUAAAAAGCAUAUGCUAAAUCAGGUAAGACUAAGCUGUUAGUGCUAUGCAGCUGUCCUUGCUGAAGGAUAGCCUUUAUCUCACAUGAUUACAUUUACAGUUGUAUUGUAAUAGAGCUGUGUACUAAUGGGAUGAUUUAGCCAUAAAUCCAAAAGCCAUAUUGAGGCUAUUAGAAUGUUGAGGGUGUCUGGUGCAAGCCUCCCUGGUGCACUUUCUGGUCACCAUCUGGAAGGAAACCAACUAGAUGCAAAUCACCUUUUGUGGGAAAAUAAGAGCCUAAUCUGUGUAAGGGUCACACUCCAAUGUAAAAUAUGUAUGGAUUUAUCAGUGGGAGUCAUUACCAACAUACCUUUCUGCUGCUCUUUGCCUCAUUGUGUGCACCAGCUCAAGUGGAAAAUCAAGUGACAGAUUAAUGCUACGCAUUUGCAAAACCCCUUUGAGAGGAGCAGACACUGUUGCCUGUAAAUUUAAGCCUUUUAAGAGGUUAAGAUGGGUGAAGGUGAAACAAAUAUUAUUGUACUUAACAGUGUACUCCUGCACUCUACAAGGCUUGAUUCUCUUCCCCCUUGAAGUCAAUUGUGAGGCUUCUAUUGACAUUAAUGGGAGCGGGCUCGGCCUGUUCCUGAGCUGGAGAGGGGCUGCACAAAUUGCUCUUCAGCGUUUCCUUUAAGUACAGAAAGACAAAUUUAUUUCUUUUUUAAAAAAGAAACAUACAAUGACAAAACACCACAAACAACCUACAUAUUAUUUGCGAAGUGUGGUACUGAAAUCUGUAUUUGUAUUUAAAAGGAGGCUGGGGAGAGGGUUGUUGAUGUUCUGUCUAUUCCUGCAAGAGAAGUCGUUUAGUGGGGAGGGGUGAGUUUUGAUAGCUGGCCUUGGUGCACUGUUGCCAUGGUGAGUUGCAAACAAUUCCUCCCUGGAUUCUGGUGGGUUUGUUCAUUUGCUAAAGUUAACACUGUUACCAAGUGAAUUAUUUAGUUCAGAAUUCCAAUUUGUUGGUUGCAGAAUUCUGGGACUGAAGUUUCAGUCUCGUAAUGGUUGGCUCCCGAUAAAGCAGUUUGAGGUGGUUUCCUAUGCCUAAAUAAGCAUCCUCUGGAAGGUGUGAAAUGUACCAAAUACAGGAAAUGGAAAGGAGCCCCUGGCAUUUCAUGAGUUUUUUGAGUGUUCCUGACUAUUUGCCAAGGCUCAUUCAAAGUAAAUGGACGGGUUACUUUCUAAUAGUUCAUGGGCAGUGACCCAUGUAAGAAAAACUUCUGAAGAAAUCAUGAGUGCUUCACUGGCUUUACUUACCUAAAUGAAUUUUUGGAAAGGGACCUGUUUUUGCUAGAAACAGAUUAUUAGGCACAUUGUACGUUUAUAUUUGCUGCCUUCUUGCUAUCAGUUAACUGCUUUGGGUGGGACAGACUAACCAGAUAAGGUUCAAGCUUCUGUUCUUGGAGAGAGAAACCAGGAUCUGAGCUGAAGGGCAUUAAUCCACAAUUAAAUGUAGGAAACAGGAACUGUCCAUACAAGGAAAAAAAAUGGAAGCAAUGAACUAUAAUGUUCAUCUGUUCUAGCACUGGAAGCAGGCUGACAGAACAAAAAUCUAAUUUGGAAAGCAGCUGGUCACACCCAGAUUCUGGGUUAACAUACGAACUUUAAUCCCUAAGAGAAAUAUGCAAGUUAUCCCUGGAGCCAGCUAUGCAGACUGGCUGGAUAUCCAGCCUGUAAAUGCAGUGGAGUUGCAAAUAGUAGUGAAUUUCAUAGAGCUGUUUAGUUUUGGUUUAUUGUUGGUGGAUUUUUUGCUGUCCUUACCGAUACAAGAAUAAUUAACAUGUCACUCUGCUCAUUACACAGGAUGUUAUGUGUCACUUGGACUUGGAGAAGUGCUGAAUUUGAGGCAGAUCCAUGGAAGGAUGUACUGUGCCCCCUUUGCCUGGUCACUGCUUGGCAGUGUGGAAAAAAAUGAGUUCUGACUGAAAUGUUUGUAUGGCCCAGGUUGGAAAUGAAUUAACGACACACUGCAGUAAUUGAUUCUUUAGGGCUUGAAAGUGGGAAGAAAACAGCAGUUUAUGGCUAGAUAGGCACUUGAUAUGGUGAGGAAGCAGAUACGUAAAUGAAAUGAUACAUCCUGGCUGUAUAGAACGUUGUCUGGAGAGAUGGUUCUUUAAUUGUAUGUCCUAUAUGACUGUAGGACAAGGAAGUCCUGAACUGAGAUUUCUAUUUGUUUACAUAAUAUAGAAUGGUGUUGGGGUUUUUCUUACUUUUUCCUAGGCAAAAGUGCACGUUUCUUCCACGGUCAAAUAUUUAGGAUAUUAUAAAUAACUUCUCAACAAUGCAUAGUUGUUUGCAUUAAAAUGGGACGAUGUGAGUAAUGAAUGUUGACUUGGAAUUACAGCCAGUAUGGUAAUGAAAUAAAGCCCCAUUAGAUUUAAGUAAUUUGCGAAUUGAGGUUGUUAUCACAUAAAUAAUUGUAUCCCUGGCUGAUGUGAGGGAAGGGUCAUAUCAGUCAAUCAAGUAGGAAAAAAGACUUUUAAAGAAAUGUAAGCUAGCAUGGAUGUUAAAUUAUGGAUUAAUUCCAUACAUGCACAGCAGUAAAUUCCCACCAGUAGACAGCUGUCAAGGUUGCCUAGAAAACUUUGCUAAAUUUAUUUUCAAUGUGAUAAUUCUGCUCUUGUUCUACUUCUACGAAAGCUCCAGGUAAUUAUUUUUUGUGUAAAUUCCAACGACACAUCAGUUUAUCACAAUGCUUGUAUUAGUCACAUAUACUGAAAAUUAACUACAAGUUAUUCAGAUGCUAAAUAGGUGCAUGUAUUGUUCAGUUUCUAGGUCAAUUUUGACUUUCUUAACUUGUGCCUUUCAAAAGAGUAGGCAUAAAAAAUCAUGUUUGAAAGAUUCAUCCAUUGAAUCACUGGAGUUGAUUCAAUGUAAAUGAGUACUUUUACCUGAAGGAGGUAGAGGAGAAUCAAAAUGCAUCACAAAUCUCUGUGAACCAAGAGUGUUUCAGCCUCUCUGUAUAAACCUGGUUGUGUUCUGCUGUGGAGAUGUUUUGUUGCCACUGGGUUUCCUCUGACAGAAGGUUUGACCAGGGGUGUGUAUAACUAUAGAGCAUCUGAUCUAUUUCUUUACCUUCCUUAAUUAAAAUCAGAUCUAUUUGUUAGAAAACAUUGUGGAAAACCUAGAGGCACCAAAAGGGAACCUUCAAUACAGAAACUAACUGCAAACCUCUGGAAACACUGAAGCUCAAAACAAUGAAAACCUCUGCAGUUAUGGCAAAGCAGAGUAUCAAAGGACAGCAAAGUCACCCUGACAGGAUGAAGUCAGACAUCUGGCACUGACUGGGUGUCCCCUGCAAGGCUGUGCUCCAUUCCAGUCGUUCUCCUGUGUAACUGGCUGUAAAAAGGACAUGAUGUUUUUUUCCAUCACACGCCCUCUCUCCUGGCAUUGAAUGCUAUAGCUGAGAUGUGCAGGUGGAGGAGGAAUUUGCUUAUUGCCAAAGGAAACUCCAAAGCAGAAAAAGGCUGAGCUAGGUGAUUCACAGGGGAGUUGUUUUGGUUUUGUUUGUCUUCCCCAAAGGGCUGCCAUCAUCAUGUGAGGGUACAGGGCUGUACCUUGUGCUAUACCCUGUCCUGGGGGGCAUCAGGCAAAGCAUCACCAGACAGCCGAGGGAGGGGAUUGUCCCACUCUGCU